CGCUAACCUCUCGCGCACGAGUCGUUCCCCUCUUCUUCCUUUAUCCUAAGCGAGACACACCAAAGGCCAACAAAAAUUCGAGACACAACAGGCAGCCAGGGUUCCCACCACGGCCGCCGUCCCCUCGCCGUCGGUUUUUUGAGGAACCUCCGCCAACCCCUCCUCCCUCGCCACUUUCCCCGCGCGUUGUGGACACACACGGCGUCACUGCCCAUCCUCCUCGCGUUCGCGAAGGCGUCGCCGCGGCCGUUCCUCUGCUCGGCUGCAGAUGCAGAUGUCGAUGUUGUUCUGACGCAUAGCUAGGGACCACGCAAGCACGACGCACCCAUCCUCAUCGACUACAGCAGGAUCUUCUGCUCAAACAUUGAACGAAGAGAAAAGAUGGUUUCUACAGAGAGAUAACAAGUUGAUGAAUGUGUCAAGAAGAUCACUGAAUUGAGAAAUAUGGUAUUUUGCUUAGCGUGCACCCAUGCUCUCUCUCUCUCUCUCGGCAAGUAUUGUGCUCCCAUGUUUCUGAAGCAUUCAGGUUUUACUCAGGAAGUGACAAUAAUUUCGUGGUUAUCAACCAAAAGGAUAUUGAUCCUCCACCCCUCUAUCUCCAAGCUAGAGCAGGGGUAACCAAUUCUGACUUGUUACUACAUGAUGGUUCUGCACUUACAUUCAACCUUGAUUUGUUCUGGGGUUCCAUUUUAGUUAAGAGAGUGUGUCAUGAUGUCCCCAGCUGAACUUGGAACAUGAAAGUUGUCUGACAUUAUACAUAAUAGUACUCUAUAGGCCACAAAAUAACUAGUUAUGUUUGAGACAAAACCAAUGUAGAAAUACAAGUUCAACAACCUUUUUUUGGCGGGCUUGUACUUGAAGGGCUAAUGCCUGUACAUAAGGUAUGUAACUAUAUACAAAGACCAUGUCAAAAAAAAACUAUAAACUAAGACCUAAGCAUGACAAUUGAUCUUCCAAGUGAUGCAUGUACAUAUCUCUGUGGCCAACAACCCUUUUCUUAUGUCCGGAACAUGCAAGUAACAUAUAUGUUUUGCUGCCAACAAAGAGAGUUACUAAUGUCGGUAAUAGUUAGUGGCUGGGUACAUAUGAAUUUAUUUUACAACAGUCAUAUUCCAAUGCUAACCAAGCUUCUUCCUUGCUAUUAGUAGAAAUACAGAUUCAACAAUAAAAGUUGUACUGCACCAUACGCUCCUAUCCAAAGUGCUAAUUAUUUCAGCAGCAGCUCUAGUUCAGUUCAGACCAACAGCAAAAACUAGUCGGAUUCUAAAACCAGUGCAGCUACGUACUAGCAAAAACAAUCAUAAUCAAUCCUUCCUCACAAGUACUAUAACAAGAGUUAUGUUUAUUUUUCAUGAUUGGUUGAGUCAGUCCGCCACACAAGUUCAAACAAGACUUGGUGCUCAAGUAUAAUCCCGUGCGCCUAGUAGCGGGCUAGCUUCCAAAGUAAAUCUGGGCACACAAGUUCAAACAGGACUUCAUGCUCAAGUGUAAUCUCAUGCACCUAGUACCAGAUUUAGCACUGAACUGAUUUUGAGCUGAGCUCCUCCUGUAGAGGCUGAUCUGAGUCGUAAUACUCUAAGCACCUGAAUACCCGAAUAAUAUGGUUGGAACAAGGAAGAAAUCUGGGAUGUUACAUUUAGGGACUAAAAUGGGUGGUCGGAGGGUUAUUUUUCUGCCAUUGCAAUGUACAUGGUAUAUUUCCUAGUAUAUGUAAAAGAAGAAAAACCCAAAAAUAUGUAUACGCCAUCUCUCUUAUCAUUUUACUGCAAUUCUUCUAGGAAUAUAGUACAAUCUCCAUCUAGUUAAUUCCGGAAGAAUGUUUGCAUCCCCUUGUUCAGAAAGAAUGUUUGAUUCAUCACUUGUCUGUAUGUGUUAAUUCAGGUAGAAUAUUGCAUCUUUUUUUUCUCAAUAGCUAUUUCUUGUUAAGCAUUAGGUGUUAAUUUUGUUGCUGUCAGGUCCAUGGAUCCAACUGAUUUCCAUGGAAUCUCCGCUUGUAGUUUGAGGCCUGAUCUCUGCUCGGUGUGGUGGUGCAAGAUCAUAUGGAAACCAGAGUUCCUAUUGUAGGCUCAGUCUGGCAGGUUCAUGUUUCCCAGCUAGUAAUGAAUUAUUCUCUGACGUUCUCUCUUGUAUACUGAUUAGAACAUGCUCUUGUCUAUAUUUAUUAGAUCGUGGAUUCCUUCCGGGUCGAGUCAGGGGCUAAGAGUAGGUGUGAUGACGAGCAGAAGUGGAUUAGAUAGCAUGACAAGCAGAAGUGGAUUAGAUAGUUCAUAGCGCUCUUUCCCCUUUCUGUUUCUUAGUUCAUUAUGCAUGUCUUGUUUUUAUGAAUGAGUGGAUAACUCCCACUGUCCAAAAUCUGAUGAUGCUUUUUUUCGUGUCGUUGAUUCUGCAGGCUCUGAGAUUUUUUUACAUGGAUCGAGAUAUUAUAAUGUGUGCCUUUGUAAUUCCUAGAUGACCAAGAUAAAUUGACGAUGCAUGGCUCACAUGUUGAUUGCAAGGUUAAGAAUGGAGCUACUACAAGAUAGUUAGAAUGUCAUUCUUAGGAUCAAUGUUUCAAACAUUAUAGUUGAUUGCAAGGUCAAGAAUCGGGCUAUUACUAGAUAGUUUCAUCUCUUGUAAUCUUUGGACAAUGUUCUUUGUAAUGCAAAAUGCUUGAUUUAAUAUAUGAGAUCUUUCUGUUUAUUA